rnacentral:lncRNA from 1 species
GUGGUAUCUAUAAUGCACAUUGCAGUAAAGUAAACAAAAUUGACCUUCAUUAUUUGGAGUCUCUACAACUUAUUCCUAGGUGCAGAUGAAGAAGCCUACCUUGGGGAAUUUGCUACAUGGUGGCAUGAUGUGGGGUUGAGGUCUUCAGAAUUCUGUCUAGACAAAUGAGAUCCCUUCUAUUUCCAGGUCAUGCUUAAUGCCUGAGAUGGCAUGAGGAGAUUGGAUGCAUUUAAGGGCAGCACCCAUUUUAGCAAACUAUCAGCCUUCCAGUUUAACCAGGGGAGGAGAAGCAUCCAGUUGGGUAGGGCUACAAAGAAAGAUAUUGCUCUCAAUGGUGCCCAGAGACAUCUCACAUCUUCCAGCACAUUAAAGAACCACCCAAACCAUUCUCCAUGGGCUCUCCAGGUCAUUCCAAGAUUUUACUGCAUUGCUGCAGAACACCGCCACCUUUCUUGCCAGCUGGGGCUCCAUUACAAUGAAUCAGCAGCAAUGUUGGCAGCUGGGGUCGCUAAAUGUGAACGCUGGGGAUGGUGCUUACGUGGCAGAGGUGGAGAUGGAAUGAUUUGGAGAGGGUAACUAAUAAUAUACAACAUCUGAUGCAGAAGUGUUGCCAAUGAUUAAUUCUUAUAUUUUCCUCGUGUCUCAGGACAAGACAGUAAUACAUUGUGGUGAUGGAAUUGGUUGCACUGCAUUGAAUUUUAAAGAAAAAUAGAAAGGGAAGUAUUCAGUUUCAUUAGACCAGGUUCAAAUUUCUCCCUGACUUCUAUUUCAGCCUUCUGCUUCAGGGUCUAACUGGCCUGCCUGCGGCACCAUAUGCUUGCAUUUGACAUUGGUUUUACUAAUACCUUUGGAAAUAUAGAGCUAGAAGGAUUAUAUUGUAAAUCCUGAGAAGUAGAGUGUUACCGUGGGAAGGGCAAUGGAUUUGGAGUUCUGCUACUUAGGACCUGUGUGACCUUGAGUAAGUACUUAACCUCUUUGGGCCUCAACUUCCCCAUUUAUAAAAUGAAGGGGUUAGACUACAUGGCCUGAAAAGUCCCAUCCAGCUCUGAAUUUAUAAUUCUGUGACCUUCUCAUAUAUGUCUGUAAGGAACAGAGCUGGGAUUUGAACCCAGGCUGUUUAACUCCAAAGACUCAGCAUUUGUUUGAUUUCCCAACACUAUUUUCAAGGUGAAAAAGCUUUUUCAGUCAAAGUUAAGUGACAAAAGGUAACUUAGUCACCAAUAACUAUCUUGAAGCGGGC